UCAUGGCUCAGGACGAACGCUGGCGGCGUGCCUAAUACAUGCAAGUCGAACGCUUCUUUCCUCCCGAGUGCUUGCACUCAAUUGGAAAGAGGAGUGGCGGACGGGUGAGUAACACGUGGGUAACCUACCCAUCAGAGGGGGAUAACACUUGGAAACAGGUGCUAAUACCGCAUAACAGUUUAUGCCGCAUGGCAUAAGAGUGAAAGGCGCUUUCGGGUGUCGCUGAUGGAUGGACCCGCGGUGCAUUAGCUAGUUGGUGAGGUAACGGCUCACCAAGGCCACGAUGCAUAGCCGACCUGAGAGGGUGAUCGGCCACACUGGGACUGAGACACGGCCCAGACUCCUACGGGAGGCAGCAGUAGGGAAUCUUCGGCAAUGGACGAAAGUCUGACCGAGCAACGCCGCGUGAGUGAAGAAGGUUUUCGGAUCGUAAAACUCUGUUGUUAGAGAAGAACAAGGACGUUAGUAACUGAACGUCCCCUGACGGUAUCUAACCAGAAAGCCACGGCUAACUACGUGCCAGCAGCCGCGGUAAUACGUAGGUGGCAAGCGUUGUCCGGAUUUAUUGGGCGUAAAGCGAGCGCAGGCGGUUUCUUAAGUCUGAUGUGAAAGCCCCCGGCUCAACCGGGGAGGGUCAUUGGAAACUGGGAGACUUGAGUGCAGAAGAGGAGAGUGGAAUUCCAUGUGUAGCGGUGAAAUGCGUAGAUAUAUGGAGGAACACCAGUGGCGAAGGCGGCU
rnacentral:rRNA from 1 species